ensembl:lncRNA
GUCCGCAUACACAUUCACGCCCGGGGGCGCGGCCGCCACGUGGGGAGUGGCGCGGGGGUGGUACUGGGACCGCACCCCCCUCUCGUCCUGGCUGCGUGGGCCCCGCUUUCCCCCUGCGCUGAAGACUCUGAGCCCGGCCGGUCCCACCUUCCACGCGAGCUGAAUUCCCUCCCGCAUUCCACCGGGGCGGUGGGAACUGCGGGCUCCGGGAGGCGCUCGGGCUCCGAGCAGCGACUCAGCCCCUCACUCUUCCCUCCGCAGUGCCGCGGCCGCCCAGCCAGGAUUCCCGCGGGUCUCAGCGGCCGCGAGCGCGAGGCGGCGCGGAUUCCCGGCGCGGUACCGGCGCUGCUGCUCACCUCUCUCGCGUCGCCUCCCGCGGCUUCCACCUUGCACCUGGCGUUCCUCUGCGCGCCUGCUGGGCCCAUCUCUGGUUUCCCUUUUCUGCUUCUAGACCCCGCGUCACAACUGCGCAGACCUCUGCGGUCAGGAAAGCGCGUCGGGCGCGGGCAGAGUUGGAUCCGCUCGGGCUUCACGCUUUCACGCUUCGCGCGGGCAUCUCUUCCUCCUCCCGGGCACCGAGGCCAGGUUGGUUGGGCCCAACUGGGAAGUUCUCUACCAUCUGGUGGAGUUUAGGUCACUUAUGUGGCUGCACUCAUCUGGGAGCUACCUGCAGCUGAAACACUCGAGAUGGCCGCUCGUCCUCCAGAGCUUCUACCCACCUGGGCUCUAACCAUUCAGUCAUCUGGCUUUGGCUUCCUCAUGCUAUGGCAGUUGGGCUCCAAGAAGAGAGAAGUGGAACUGGCCAUUCCCUUUAAGGCUUGGACUUCACUUCUGUCACACACUGUUGGUCAAAGCAAGUCACAGGCCUAAUGAUUCAAGGGGAGGGGAACUAGGCUGCACCUGUUUCUAGGGACAAAAGGAAGAGGUUGAUGACCAUUGGACACUAUCUAUCUCCCACAGCAUGUGGCAGUAAUUAUACAGGGAGCUCCUGGAGGGCAAGGAUCCAGCUAUAUAUCCACUCUUCCCAAGCCCACACGGUCAGAGAUUUCAGGAUACAGUGUGAACUCCAGCUUCAAUAUUCCUCAUACUGGAAUGUUGGUCUGGGAGAGGGUCGAGAGGUGGUGGAGUCAAGCCCAGGCUGUCGGCUGCCUCUGUUGGGACUCUUUAAUUUCAAGAUAGUGCAUCUAAAUGCUGUCUGGAAGUCUUUUUCUGGGCAUAGGUUAUGCCCCCUGCGGCAUGAUGGGCACAUUUCAUUCAGCCACAUGGUUACACAGAGCCCUGGAUCCAAACACAGACUUAAUAAUUAAAGCCUGUCUCUUCUCUCUCUUGUCAUUGUACAUUUAGAGCAUGUGGAAGUCAUUAGUGUUGUUUGUCAAAUAUUUCUGGCUGUGCACCUGCUGAACACAUGGCAGGAUUGCACUUCUUGGCCCUCUUGUGGUUGGGUGCAGCCUUGUGAUGAUUUCUGGCCAAUGAGUUGUGAAUGGAAGUGCCUUGUGCCUUGUAUGGACAUUUAAUGGCUUUGUGAAGCCUCCAGAGCUCUCUUUCCCUCUGCUUUUGUGCUGGCAAUGUUAGAGAUGGUAUCUGCUCCACUGGGCCAAUGAAGACAUGAGAAGCAGAGCCUCAUUCAACCCAUGAUGUGCAAAUGGUGGUGAUCCUGGGAGUACUUGGUGGACUAGAAGAAAAAGAGGAUAAGAUGGGGUUCUACCAUUCCUCAGGAGGGCAUGCCCCCAGUGCCCGAAGUUCUGCUCAUAAAGCACAUCUCCUGAAGGUCCUCCUGCCUUCCAGUGAGGUCAGUAUCCUGGGCCGACUGAUGUGGCACAGCUGCUUCCUCUGGAGUCCGUGAAAACCUCUUGGUCCACAUUCUUCCCUCAUGGCUGGAGCAACUCGGAGCUUUCUGCAGUUGGUGGGAUUCUGGGGCUCCGAGGACUCAAAACCAAAUUGGAGAGAAGGUAGAAGCCUUAAGGAGCUGAAGUCUGGAAAGUCAAAGAUGAGAGAUGCUGAUGGGCCUGAGGAGAUGGAAACCACACAGAAGGUGAGAAGAAAGGCAUUUGGGAAGUAUUGAUACCUUUAAGGUAUAGCUGCAGAACUGAAUGAUACCUUGGAUGUGAAGUAUGAGAAGAGAAAGCUCAAGAAUAUUUCAAGGUUUUUGGCUUUGUGAAAUGGAAAGAAGUGAAAGAUGCAUCUAGAUGUCCAAGAGCUUGGC